rnacentral:rRNA from 1 species
GAUGAACGCUGGCGGCGUGCCUAAUACAUGCAAGUCGAGCGAACAGACGAGGAGCUUGCUCCUCUGACGUUAGCGGCGGACGGGUGAGUAACACGUGGAUAACCUACCUAUAAGACUGGGAUAACUUCGGGAAACCGGAGCUAAUACCGGAUAAUAUAUUGAACCGCAUGGUUCAAUAGUGAAAGACGGUUUUGCUGUCACUUAUAGAUGGAUCCGCGCCGCAUUAGCUAGUUGGUAAGGUAACGGCUUACCAAGGCAACGAUGCGUAGCCGACCUGAGAGAGUGAUCGGCCACACUGGAACUGAGACACGGUCCAGGCUCCUACGGGAGGCAGCAGUAGGGAAUCUUCCGCAAUGGGCGAAAGCCUGACGGAGCAACGCCGCGUGAGUGAUGAAGGUCUUCGGAUCGUAAAACUCUGUUAUUAGGGAAGAACAAAUGUGUAAGUAACUAUGCACGUCUUGACGGUACCUAAUCAGAAAGCCACGGCUAACUACGUG